GUAAUCAAAAAAUCAAUCUUUACUUAUCUGUGCAAUACUUACCAGUGGUAUAAAGGGGCUCAUACAUGUUCUAUUUAUAGGCAUCCACUGUGAAAACACCCACCACAGAAAGUUCAGAGGUGCCCCCACUUGAGGCCUUGUUAAAUAUGUCUUUAAAUGGAAAUGUUGAAAUAGAGGAUUUUAAUCUUACAGCUGGUCAAACAGGACCCGUCCACAUGUGUGAGAUUCUCGGGCUGCAAGCUGGUGAAAUAGCUUAUACCUCUCCACGAAAGAGAUGCAAAGCUAUGGAUAUGCUAGUGCGAUCUACAGUUUUUGCAAUUUUGAGACAUUGUUUAAACCAAUACCUGCAUGAAACCUGCAUAGGGUGUACUUUGAAGGCGGCUGGGCAAUCCGCACACGAGUGUCUAGUCUGGCCCAAAAGUGUCAUAUCUAGAAAAUUGCUAAUUGUAUGUGGGAAAAUCAGUUUUAAAAGCAUAUUACAUGUUGUCAUUCUAAUUGGUUACAGUUUAAACUGUCUUGUUCUCACACCAAGGCAUGUUGAUCAAAUUUUGAUAUUAAUUAUGAAAAUUGGAAGGUCACACAACGCCUUGAAAACAUUAAAUACACUCCUGAGACCAGUA